GUCUGUGUGGCUGGUCUUCCGCUCCGAUGCCAAUACAUAGUAAACUGAGGCGCGACUAUUGCUAGUUGAAAACUUUUCCCAAUACCUCGCCGUGACGACGUGAAAUACCGUCGGCUAUGGCAAUUUUUGGCAGCCUCCACGGAGG